rnacentral:rRNA from 1 species
AGAGUGAACGCUGGCGGUGCGCCUAAAACAUGCAAGUCGAGUGGGUUUAGACCCACGGCGAACGGCUGAGUAACACAUGGGUACCUGCUCCGAACUCAGGGAUAUCCCGCCGAAAGGCGGAGUAAUACCGGAUGACCUCGCAAGAGGAAAGAUUUAUCGGUUCGGAAGGGCCUAUGCCCUAUCAGUUAGUUGGUAAGGUAACGGCUUACCAAGACUAUGACGGGUAGCUGGUCUGAGAGGACGACCAGCCAGAAUGGGACUGAGACACGGCCCAUACUCCUACGGGAGCAGCA